AACAUAAGCUAUUGCAUGCUGAUGACCAUUUUGGUUACCAACACCACCAGGUCUACCAGACUCUGGUUUAGAAAUGGUAGAAAAAUUUGUUUUCCUACCAUAACUUUUCAUAUUACUUGCUCUUAAAAUGUCAUCUUUUUUUGUUCUUCUAAUUGGAAUGGUUCCUUCUGGGCAUUUCCCAUUCAAAUGCCAUAGUUGAUUAAUUGAUUUUGAUCCAUAAUUCUUAUUCUUUGCUGCAGUAGACAUUUUCCCAUCACGAAAUAGCCCUUCUGGAUGAUAAUUUGGCAUCAUCUGUACGGUGUGAUUCUUCAAUAAAGGAUGAUCAAAAGCUGGUUGGUGAGAUAUAUGAACACAAUCGAUUAUAUCACCAUCUGGGCUCUUGAUAGAUUUGACAGCAGGUUUGUUUAAACGAUUCAAAUGUUUUUGAAUCUCAAAUUUUUGGGAAGAAAGAGACAUGCCCUGUUUAGCUUGUGCAGCAUCACUAUCACAUAACAGAAGUAACACCAUAAACAGCACAGACAAGCAAAACAUCUCCGUUUUUACAUUAUCCAUUAAUAACUAUAUUUCCCCAAGCUUUUUUCAGAUGAAGUGGGGUUUCUUGAAUUCUUCAACCAUGAAGAUAAAAGUGAAAUCUUUGAUUCAAAAAAAAAAAACAGGUU
rnacentral:misc_RNA from 1 species